rnacentral:lncRNA from 1 species
GCGGGGGCGGCGCAGGGUCUCCCCUGCGAGGCCAGGCGGAGGUUCGCGGCUCCAGGUGCCCGCUCUGCUCCUCCCAGAAGCUGGACUCACAGGAAACGGAGGCCCGGCCGCCCCGCGAGCCCUCUAUUUACAGCCAGGUCGGUCCUCUCAAGGCCAAGGCCACCCGGGGACCAAUCGUCUAUUUGUCCCCAACAUGGAACAGCCAGCUCCUUCCGGCUGCCUCCUUGGAGAAAGAGGGGCCGGGGGCGGGAGCGCUGGCGGCCCGUCCCUGCUCCCCAGGCCGCGUCCACGCGGGAAAGUGCUCCUGUCCCUGCGUGUCCUCCGCAGCCGGGCGGGGCCGGAGCGGCGCUGCCCCCGGGGUCUGGGGGGCGGCCGGCCGGGGCGGGCACUCCCGACGGCGCGGGGCCGCGGGGCUGUCGUGCUGGUGAUGAUGAAGCCGGGGGUCUGGGCCACCGACAGUCCCCGGCGCCCCAGGAGGCGGGGGGCGCGUGUGCCCGGCGCCCCAUCGCGCAGCACGAGGGCUCAGAGACGCCCGCAGGCGAAGCGGCUGAUGAUGGGCCCGGGAGCACAGCGCGGAGCGGAUCCAGGACCUCGGGUCUCAUCUGGGUCCGACGUCCCCUCUCUCCUUCCUCUCCUUUCCCUCCCUCCGUCCCUUCCUCUCUUUUUUCUUUCCCUCGAUUGCACUGGAAAAUGCCUCCGUGUGCAGAAUGAGGCGCCGAGUCCUCCGAGAAGUCGAACAGCCGGACCGAUGAGAACGUGGCCCUGAUUAAGCCCAGCAUCUGAUGUGACAUUCUCUGUGGUUACGUUUACUUCCCGUUACUAGGGCUUGUGAAGGAGGCAGCGCUGAGAAGGCAGCCUUGGGAGGUCCAAGGCGUCUGGAAGAUGCGUCAGGACGCGCCCCCUGCGCCUCCUCCCCGGGGUUUGGGGUCGCGAGGAUGCUGCCGCCUGGGGCCCCUCCUGGUUACCGCCGUGAACCUGCCGGGCGCGGGGCCUCCUGCAGCCUCCGCGUCUGGCCCGUCUGUCCUCAGGCCGAGGCUGGGCCGUAGUGACCGGCUGGCGGUCCCUGCGCGUCCGGCCCUGCUCCGACGGCCCGAGGCGCGCCCGGCUGCUGGGCAGUCGGAGCCUCGCAGGCUCUGGGAUCCGGGGCCUUCUCGACAAAGCCGCACGAGACCCGUGGCCCCUACUCAGAAAGCGGAGCCACCAAACGCCUGGUCACUCGUGCCAGUGACCCCCCCCCUCCACGGGCAUCCUGGGGUCCCCCUCUUCUCCAGCCUACCUCGAAGACGCUAAAUUCGAAACAGGCCUCCAGUCUGUCCAUCUGUCCGCCCCCAUCCCCUGCUCUCGCGAGCGGGCAGCUCAGUCCUUGCUCGGGUCACUGUGACAGCCCUGUGGGUUCUCCUGCCGACUGUCGUCUCCCCGCCUCGAAGUUUACUCUCCACACCCACCCUGAGGGAGAGGGAGCUCCAGAAAGUCAAAUGAGCUCCUGUGGCCCUGAGUGUUUCAGUGGCUUCCCACUGCACCUGGGAGAAAGUGACCCCCAGCCCCCAUCACAUGGCGCAAGGCUCCCGGGAUUCCUGCAGUUUCCCCCAAAUUCUAUCCCACCAUUGUGCCAUGCCAUUCCAGACACUCUGGUCCCCCAGCUCUAUCUCCAAUACCCUGAGUUGUCCAGCCCCAGGGCCUUUGCACAUGCUGCUCCCCCUCCUUCUGGAAUGCUCUCCCCUCAGCUCUCCCCAUGACCCGCUGAAAGGAGCUCAACACAAGGUUGACAUAAUGGAAGCCAUAUUGUAGAAGAGAGACCAUGUUGUAACUUUGAAUGACCUCUGACUAACUAACCCAGCUGGAUUUGCACCCUCCAGGAGAUCCACCUGUGCUGUAGACGUUAUGACCCCUGCUAGAGCCUAUACCUUGCAGCUGCAAUAAGAUGAUAACUUUGUUCUUUUGAGUUCCUUUGGAAUGUGAUGACCCCCAAACAGACAGUCUAUGCUGAUAGCCAUCAUCAAUGAAACUGAAAGACCUGGAGUGGCGACUUGCAGUCUGUAACAACUGAGGGUCAACAUUCCUAACCCCUCCCCUAUAACCCACUGCCCUAUAUAACUGCGUCAAGAUUCUGUGCCCCCCUUACGAUGGGUCUUUUGGACAUUAGUCGGCCAUCUGCCCUCUUGCUAGCGAGCUGUAAUAAAAUGCCCUUUCUCUGCACCAUCUCACCUCUUGACGACUGGCUUUUGUCUCGGGGAGAGCAGAUUGUGCUCUUUGUGCGGUCAUACUGCCCCUCAUGUCCUUCCAUGCUCUGCUCAGGUGUCACCUGCUCAGAGGACAGCCCUGACCACCCGUCUAAAGAAGCUCUCGGCACCCACGUCGUGUCCCUAUGUCCUGCACAGAACUUGUCCCCAUGUGAAAUUGAUGUACUCAUUUUAUACCCUUCUGUUGUCAUUUCCACCCACAGGAAUGUCAACCACGUGAGAGAAGAAACUGUCUGUUCGCUGUGGAUCCCUGCUCUGAGAACGGGGUCAGCCGCAGUGAGUUCUUGAUUUGCGUUUGUUGAGUAAUUGAAGGAACAAGAAGAAUCAUAAGAUGGAAUCCCAAGAAUUCCAAAAUAAGUAUUUAAAUCAUAGAAUGUUCGAGUCAGAAGGAGCCCUUGGAAACCAUUCAGCCAAACCCAUUCCUUUUGCAGAUGGGUGAACUGAGACCCAGGAGGACAAAGUGCCUGCUCCACACCCCAAGCCGGGGGCCCUGCUCUGUGCGGGGGGGUUCUGCUUGCGUGGUUGUGGGGGCCACAUGUGGCUGUGGGGCGCCAUCUGUCCUUGACACAUGGCUGAGGAAAAUAGGGACAGAAGGCACAAAUAUGCCAAAAGAUAAAAGACUAAAAGCUACACAGUUCAGAGGAGACAGAGCUGGAGGCUGGGUGCCCAGUGGCCUGGAAAGGCUCCCCGAGGACGAGGGGCCUGAAUGGCUUGAGGAGCCGGUGGACCCCAACUUUGAGGGUCAACUCAUGGGAGGGCCUUAGGCAGGAACAGGCUGAGGCAAAUUCCUCAAGAAGGUAAUUCAGGGACAGAAGCAUCCGCUGGCUGCCUGUCACAGCCAGGGGCCUUUCACACGGAAAUCAGAUCACGUGUUCGCUGCCUGGAACAUUCGCUGCUUCUGUGCUGAGGCACCUCAACAGACGACCACAAACCGGGUGGCUUCAGACAAGGGUGAUUUGUCUCUCAAGUUCAGGAAACCGGAAGUCUGAAAUCGGGGGCAGGGGCGGUCCCUCCUGGGGCUCCGAGGCAGCAUCUGCUCCAGGCCCCCUCCAGCUGCUGGUGGGGACCGGCCUCCUUGGGGUCCCUUGGCUUGUAGGUGCAUGGCUUCCAUCUCUGCCUCACGGUCACACGACUUUCUCCAUGUGUGUCUUCACACGGCUUCAGACAAGGACGCUAGUCAUUGUAUUUAGCGUCACCCGAACCCAGUACGACCUCAUCUUAACUAAUCACAUCUGCAAAGACCCUCUUUCCAAAGAAAGUCACAUUCUGAGGUUCCGGGAGGGGCAACGCUAUUCAAGCCAGUGCAGCUUCCCAUUCUGCCGGAUUGAAAGCUGAGCCCUCUCCAGGCCUGUGGGGCAGAGCAGCCUGGUGCUUGAGACCAGGAGGCUGGAGCUGGCCUGCCCAGAUCAACACUGGGACAGUGGCUGAGGAAAACAGAAAUGUGUUGCUGGGCAUUCAGCUGCCCUCUCGGUUUCCCCAUCUGUAAAAUGGGGCUGAAAGCAGUACCAGCCUCCUCAGUUGUUGUGAGGGUGAAGCGAGAUAAUAAACGUAACGUGGCAUGUGGGGCGGAGACAAGAGCAGACGAGGUCCCUGCCCCACGGGCCUCCCACGUUGGCGGGAGAGAGACAGGAACGUGAAAUCCAGCGGGGCCGCACGUGGCCGGUGGUGAAGGUCGCCAAGAGGGAAGCACAGCAGGAUAGGGAGGCGGGGACAGGAGUGGUGCGGGCUCAACAGGCUGUUCAGGGAGGGACUCACUGAGACAGGGACAUAGGGCAAGGGGCCUGAAGAAAUAAGUGGGGCACGAGGGUUCUGCGGGGAGCGUUCAAGGCAGAGGGCACAGCCGGUACAAGGCCCGUGUGUGCGAGGAGCAGUGGGGGCCAGAGUGGCUGCAGGGAGGUGGGCGAGGGGGACUGUGGGAGCCAGGUCAGAGAGGUGACGGCACGGGAUCCGUGUACGACCUUGAGGGCCAGUGAAAGGACGCUGGCGUUACCUGUGCAUGUUGGAGCCCUCAGAUGGGUCUGAACACAGGAGUGACGUGCUCUGAGUUCAUUUUAGGUGACGCCUCAGGCUGUGUGCGGGGCCAGACUGUGGGGCGGAGGGCAGAAGCAGCUGGACCUGUGAGGAGGCCACCAGGGUGGGGGCAGGAAGGUGCAGGGCACGGUCAUCAGUGCCAGCUCUGGGAUUUGCACCUGAGGGUCGGCUGACGGGAUCUGCUGAUGGAUGGGGCGGAGGCGGUAAGAGGGAAACAGACCGUCAAGGAGGACGCCAAGGGCUUUGGGCUGAGCGGCUGGAAGGACUGCGGUGCUCCUGAGUCAGGUGUGGGAGGUCUCAGGAGGAGCAGGCGGGAGCAGGGAGCGGCUGAGAGGCAGAGAGACCUUCCAGAAAGGUCUGGGGUCCUGAGCCAACUUGGCCCCCCCUCAAGAGCUUCCUUCAUCUGAGCUGCAAGGAUGACCACCUGUGUUGUCCCCGAGCGGGUGACGCCAGCCAGGCUCUGCACUUGUGUCUCCCUCCGAGAGACAAAGGUCAAUGUCACAGCAGUCUGCUCUGAUGCUGGCUUCAAGCCAAGGCCCUUAAUGUUCAAUGAGAAAUCUGCAUUGAUGAAAUUUUCAUUAAAGAAACGUUAUCCCUUUCCCUCGCCUUGUUAUUCCGUGGCUGUGGGUAUCAGGCUAAUUUGGGUUUGAUUACCCCGAUGAUCUGAAGAUUGGAGCAUUAUUAAAAAUUUAGAUGAGCAAUGAUAGGUCUGCGCCUCCCUCUCCUCUCUCAGCCGGAGCACAGGGGCUCUGCUAACGAUCACAACGAAUUCGGGGCAGACAUGGCAAUUAGAGGAGUAUCGAUAGUUCGAGGGGGCUUCAACCCCUCUGCCUCCAACGGAAAUCGGCUGGGUGGCUUC